UACGUAGGGUGCAAGCGUUAAUCGGAAUUACUGGGCGUAAAGCGUGCGCAGGCGGUUGUGUAAGUCUGACGUGAAAUCCCCGGGCUCAACUUGGGAAUUGCAGUGGAUACUGGCAGGCUGGAGUAUGGUAGAGGAAGGUGGAAUUCCCGGUGUAGCAGUGAAAUGCGUAGAGAUCGGGAGGAACACCAGUGGCGAAGGCGGCCUUCUGGACCAAUACUGACGCUCAUGCACGAAAGCGUGGGGAGCAAACAGG
rnacentral:rRNA from 1 species